UACGUAGGGACCGAGCGUUGUCCGGAAUCAUUGGGCGUAAAGAGCGUGUAGGCGGCCCCUUAAGUCCUGCGUGAAAUCCUGCGGCUCAACCGCAGACGGUCGUGGGAAACUGGAGGGCUAGAGUGCGGGAGAGGAGAGUGGAAUUCCCGGUGUAGCGGUGAAAUGCGCAGAUAUCGGGAAGAACACCCGUGGCGAAGGCGGCUCUCUGGAACGCAACUGGCGCUGAGACGCGAAAGCGUGGGGAGCAAACAGG
rnacentral:rRNA from 1 species